AUACAGAGGGUGCAAGCGUUAUUCGGAAUUACUGGGCGUAAAGCGCGCGUAGGCGGAUGAUUAAGUCAGUUGUGAAAGCCCUGGGCUCAACCUAGGAACUGCAUCUCAUACUGGUCAUCUAGAGUUUAAGAGAGGGAAGUGGAAUUCCAGGUGUAGCAGUGAAAUGCGUAGAUAUCUGGAGGAACAUCAGUGGCGAAGGCGACUUCCUGGCUUAGAACUGACGCUGAGGUGCGAAAGCGUGGGUAGCGAACGGGAUUAGAAACCCUUGUAGUCC
rnacentral:rRNA from 1 species